rnacentral:tRNA from 1 species
GCCGAAGUGGCGGAAUUUGGCAGACGCGCUGGAUUCAGGGUCCAGUACCCGCAAGGGUGUGGGGGUUCAACUCCCCCCUUCGGCA